rnacentral:tRNA from 1 species
AAUAAUGAACCUAAUUUAGGAUGAACUUGAUAGGUUUAUUAAGAUAAAUAGAUAUUGCUAUCUUUUUA